UACUCUCUCAGUUCCCAAUUGUACCUCCUAACAGUCCAUGUGGCUAUGACAUCAUGAAUGAGAUUAGAACUCUCAUGACCCAAUCACCUCCCAGCAGUCCCUCCUCGGGUCAAGCCUUUUGUCACCAAGCCUUCAUGGAAUAUUUCAUAUCCAAGCCACAAACCUGACAAAAGCAGUUCCAGUGCCUAGGGAUGCCUGAUUUGCUUUUAAUUGCCUCUGCCCCUUGGUUUGGUUCCCUGCUACACUGAUUAUAUUUGUGUAAUACUUGAAGCUCAGAGAUGUACCAUGUAAAGGCUUCACCCUCUGGAGAGCACCACACAUGUGCAGUGUCUGAAGAGGCCAGAAGAAGGAGUCAUAACAUCUGGAACUAGAAUUAUAGUCUAUUGUGAACUAUCAGUUUGUGUGACAGCGCCACUCACAUCCAAGGUGAAUCUUUCUCCCUCCGGUUCUUCCUUGCUGGAACAACCUUCACAGACAAGCCGAAGAUGUGCACCUCAACAAUCUCCUAGAACCAUGGGCACAGCAAUCCUGGUAUGGAGGAAACAAAAGGAUACAAGAGUCUAUCCCCACCCUAAGGAGCUGAUUUAGUGGAGAAAAUAGAGGAGAAUGCAAGAGUGCCAGACCCUGAAUGAGAGCAUCAAUGAUUCAUCCUCCAGGAGUGCAGAGGAGGGGCAUAGGGAAUAACAAAUGAUAGAGAGAAAUACUAAUUGGCACACAUCAGCUUCGCCAGAGACCAUGUGGAAUGUCCCUCUUCUUGUUUGCUUUAAACACCUUGUAAGUACCUUUUGAAUGUGAGAAAACUGAUCUAGGAGACAGAAAAUAAGGGAGUAUGAAUGGAGGACACAGAGCUUGUGUGGGACCUCAGCCCACAGACAAACAUCAGAGGACUCUCAGAGGCCUAGGGUGGUGGGAUGGGAAGUUUCAGCCUGUGUGCAAAGUCCUCAGACCCUUUUCAGCCUCUUGCCUUUCACAGUCCCCAUCCCUCUAGCUCUAGCAUCAACAAGGCAAACCAUCAGUUAUUCAGACUGGAAUUGAACAAAUUUAAUUGCAAAGAAUUAAAUAAGUUGUAGAUCAAUA